CUACGGGAUGCUGCAGUGGGGAAUAUUGGACAAUGGGGGAAACCCUGAUCCAGCAAUGCCGCGUGUGUGAAGAAGGCCUGCGGGUUGUAAAGCACUUUCGGUUGGGAGGACUGCUUCUAGCACUAAUAUUGUUGGAAGUUGACGUUACCUUCAGAAGAAGCACCGGCUAACUCCGUGCCAGCAGCCGCGGUAAUACGGAGGGGGCAAGCGUAAUCGGAAUUACUGGGCGUAAAGCGCGCGUAGGCGGCUAGAUCAGUCGGGUGUGAAAGCCCCGGGCUUAACCUGGGAACUGCAUCCGAUACUGGCUAGCUUGAGUACAGGAGAGGAGAGUGGAAUUCCACAUGUAGCGGUGAAAUGCGUAGAUAUGUGGAGGAACACCAAUGGCGAAGGCAGCUCUCUGGCCUGAUACUGACGCUGAGGUGCGAAAGCGUGGGGAGCAAACAGGAUUAGAUACCCCGGUAGUC
rnacentral:rRNA from 1 species